CAGAUGGACAGUCGUAAUCCAGACGCAUCUCCGUCAGGAACCGGAAAACGUUCCCCGGUUAAGGACCCGACGAACACACCAGCUCAUUUUCAAUUGCUUAGGCAAGGUUCAGGGAUGUGAUCCAGGUUUCCAGAAUGAUAAAUAGGGGAUCAACCUGGGGUGGAGGUAGUCUUAAUAGCAUGAUAAUUUUCUUCGAUGUUAGGGGGUGGCUAAAUCAUAUCCAAAACACCUGAUUGGUGCUUCAUGGAUUGUUGUACAAAUUGCCCAGGAAUACAUUAUUACUAAAACAAGUAAGAAUGGCCUCAUGUUGCCUUUGAA